rnacentral:rRNA from 1 species
ACGUAGGGUGCGAGCGUUAAUCGGAAUUACUGGGCGUAAAGCGUGCGCAGGCGGCGCGUUAAGACAGGCGUGAAAUCCCCGGGCUCAACCCGGGAACUGCGUCCGAAACUGGCAGGCUCGAAUCCGGGAGAGGGAUGUGGAAUUCCAGGUGUAGCGGUGAAAUGCGUAGAUAUCUGGAGGAACACCGGUGGCGAAGGCGGCAUCCUGGACCGGUAUUGACGCUGAGGCGCGAAAGCCAGGGGAGCAAACGGGA